GGCCUGAUGGCACAAUGGUUAGUGCCUCUGCUCGAAUUAUCGUAUUUUCUCAGAAUUCUGCAGAAGAUCCCCAUUCGAUUCGGGGCCAGGCCA